GAUGAAGAACGUAGUGAAAUGCGAUAAUUAAUGUGAAUUGCAGAAUUCAGUGAAUCAUCGAGUCUUUGAACGCACAUUGCGCCCCCUGGUAUUCCGGGGGGCAUGCCUGUCCGAGCGUCAUUGCUGCCCUCAAGCACGGCUUGUGUGUUGGGCCUCCGUCCUCCUCCCGGGGGACGGGCCCGAAAGGCAGCGGCGGCACCGCGUCCGGUCCUCGAGCGUAUGGGGCUUCGUCACCCGCUCUUGUAGGCCCGGCCGGCGCUUGCCGACACAUCAAUCUUUUUUCCGGGUUGACCUCGGAUCAGGUAGGGAUACCCGCUGAACUUAAGCAUAUCAAUAAGCGGAGGA
rnacentral:misc_RNA from 1 species